AUCUUUUUAAUAUUAAUAAGUAUAUAUGACUUCCAAUCAUUUAGUUUUGGUUAAAAUCCAAAAAAAGAUA
rnacentral:tRNA from 1 species